rnacentral:ncRNA from 1 species
UUUAUGGAGAGUUUGAUCCUGGCUCAGGAUGAACGCUGGCGGCGUGCCUAAUACAUGCAAGUCGAGCGAACUGACGAGGAGCUUGCUCCUUUAAUGUUAGCGGCGGACGGGUGAGUAACACGUGGGUAACCUACCUAUAAGACUGGAAUAACUCCGGGAAACCGGGGCUAAUGCCGGAUAACAUAUCGAACCGCAUGGUUCGAUAGUGAAAGACGGUCUUGCUGUCACUUAUAGAUGGACCCGCGCCGUAUUAGCUAGUUGGUGAGGUAACGGCUCACCAAGGCAACGAUACGUAGCCGACCUGAGAGGGUGAUCGGCCACACUGGAACUGAGACACGGUCCAGACUCCUACGGGAGGCAGCAGUAGGGAAUCUUCCGCAAUGGGCGAAAGCCUGACGGAGCAACGCCGCGUGAGUGAUGAAGGUCUUCGGAUCGUAAAGCUCUGUUGUUAGGGAAGAACAAAUGUGUAAGUAACUGUGCACAUCUUGACGGUACCUAACCAGAAAGCCACGGCUAACUACGUGCCAGCAGCCGCGGUAAUACGUAGGUGGCAAGCGUUAUCCGGAAUUAUU